CAAGAAAUAGUUUAAUUAGAAUAUCAGUUUUGGGUACUGGUGGUGUGGCUGUUUGCUUCUUUCUUGA
rnacentral:tRNA from 4 species